rnacentral:snoRNA from 1 species
UUUUUGUGAUGAGAAAUCUGUCAGUUCUGCUACUGAUUAGCAUAUUGAAGAAAAUUAUUUCGCUGAAA